CUCAUCUGUGGUGGAGACGCUUGUGAGCAUCCUGAGGCUCACAUGCAACCUGCCUUAGCAACUCCCAGUGAGGAUGUACUUCUUAACAUUUACCUCCACCGGAAAAGUCCUGAGAAAGAAAGACUUUGGGAACAGCCGAAAUCACACGUCCACCUGUGCACUGAUCACUGGGGCCAGAGAAAUGACCCAAGACUUUGAUUGAGUUGGGAUUCCCAGAGCCCAGGCUGGAAGUGAAUGGAGCUGGAGUUUGAGUCCAAAACUGAUGGUAGGGCUGGUAUCAAGUCCACAAAUGGAUUAUAGAAGAUUUGGGGCAAUCUUUUGGGAUUAUUGUAAAAGAGACUUUGUAACAUUGAUCUCUAUUUUCAUCACCCAUCUUGGGCCUGAACAAACUUCCCCUCCUUUGGAGAUAGGCACUGCUAACCUAUUUUGCAGAUGAACAAACUGAAGCAGAGGACAGUACUCCCAGGGCAUGGAGAAAGUUGUGGUGAAAUUUAGAUUAAUGGUCAAGGUUGACUGUAAUUGAGAAGGAAGGUGAGGGGGAACCACAAAAUCGGUCAGCUUUUGGCUUGCUCUGACAAUCAUUCAGGCGUUACCUUUAUUUUUUCCUUCUGGCUCAACAGAAUUCCUUGGUAUCUCAGUCAAGCAAUACCUAAAUGCUCAGUCAGCACUCGCACUAAAUACAUAUUCCCUGGACCUCACCCCCAAGUGUCCUAUUCAGCUACAAGGGACUAAAUGGAAGCUAAUCGCUUGUCUGAGACCAGGGGAGCCAGCACUUCACUUCUAAUGAUAGGUUUGCUGUCGGCAAGGGGUGAAUGUUUACCUUGGGGAGCUUCUAGUCUUUCCCAAGUAUAGGUGUCCCUUCUUCUUGAGCAGCUGCCAGGUGCUCAGUAGCCUUGGGAGCCCUUCAGAUAAAUAACACCUGAGGUUACUUUGCCUCAACUGCGGCAUGUGGAGGCAUAAACCUCAGGUAUCUGGGUGUGGGCCUGCCUUAGUCAUAGUGAGACUAGAGAGAAUGUUCCAUUAAAUCACACCGAGUUACA